rnacentral:rRNA from 1 species
UACGGAGGAUGCAAGCGUUAUCCGGAAUGAUUGGGCGUAAAGCGUUCGUAGGUGGCUCAUCAAGUCGGCGGUCAAAGAGUCUGGCUUAACCAGAUAAAGGCAGUGGAAACUGAAGAGCUAGAGAAUGGUAGGGGUAGAGGGAAUUCCUGGUGUAGCGGUGAAAUGCGUAGAGAUCAGGAAGAACACCGGUGGCGAAAGCGCUCUGCUGGACCAUAACUGACACUGAGGGACGAAAGCUAGGGGAG